AUGGUGAUAAUGUAUUUGAAAUCUGCCAUUAUACUGUUUUUUCAGGAUAUCUUCAGGAGGGAAGACAAAAAUAAUUCUGGAUUUCUUGACAUAUAUGAACUGAAGAGUGCAAUACAGACAGCAGGUCUGGCCAUCAACGAGCAAAUCCUGCACCUGGUGUCCCUGCGUUUUGGUGAUGUUACCAGGAGAAUCGGCUUCUCUGACUUCAUGUGCUGCAUGCUGCGCCUUGAAACCAUGACCUGUGAGUCUUGGCACUUGGGCCUGGGAUUAGGCAAGGGGCAGGGCAGCUUUAUCACAGGGGAGCCUGCAAAACCAGACAGAGCAGUGAAAGGAAGCAAGGGGAAAAGUGCUGGACGCAGUAAUGCAGGUCUACAGAUCAGCGUGGAAAUAAUGAACCUGCCAAAAGUCUAGGCAUGGCCCUGGCAUCCCUUUGGGCAGGCUGUUUGCCAAAAGCCAGGUUCUCCUCCUGCCUAAGGGGGAAACCAGUGUGGUGCUGGAGAAAAGGGCUGGGAAUACAGCAAUGGGUGCACUAAAAAGGGUCAGGAAGAAAGGAUGGCCCCCAGGCUCCCAUCAGAUCCCAUCAGAACACCUGUAGCCUGCUGCAGCACCACACUGCCCAGCGCAGCAGCAAACGUAGUGUAUUUUCAGAACUUCUUCAGGGGCUACUGCUGACAAUACUUUUUGCUGCAUGCAUUUAGCCUGACCUCUGCAGGCUUAUUUUGGAGCUCCCAUGCACUAAAGAAGACUCAUUUUCUAAAAUGUCCCUGCACUGGUGCCCUUUAACACAAGAUUGACUGCAUCCUGUUCUGCAGCAGAGCUUUCUCCAGGGUGGCAUUGUCAGUACCAUAGAAAGGACACUACCCAGUGAGGAGGAAGGACACAACUGGGGUGGUUUUACCUUGUACUGUACAGUACAGUACCUUGUACAGCCCCAGUACAACAACAUGUCUCAAAUGGAAGGGUUUCUGUUUUGGUUAAAAGUCAGGAAGUCUAAACCACAAGAAGAGUAAGUGCCUUUUUCUUUUUUAAACCAGAGAGAUGUUCCCACCAACUUCAGUACAGUUCUCUCAGCUUUUUGGUAAGGAGAAGGUGUGAGAUCCUUCUCAGUGAAACACAAAAAGCGAUGUAACUCCAAGACUCAUUGACUCACUUUGGAGAAUUAGGAAGCAAGUAUUCUUUAUUAACAGCACUGGGUACGUGGGAGAUGGUACUUACUUAUGGUACGGUGAUAUACAUAUUCAUACAAUUUUCCAAGAAAGGUCAGGAUUUAUGUUAAUGUUUCUGAGAACGAAUUAUCAUAUUGUUCCUCCUACUUUCGUAUGCACAGUACCCUCUGGUGGUCACACUUUGGGGUCUUUCUGAUGAAGGCUCUUAGUCUUCUUCACCUUGUACUUUUUCCCAUUUUGCGCACUCUGUCAUUGUUGACCACUUCAGCAGUUUUACUUUUUUCAAACUCAGCUAAGUCAAUUGUUUGAGUUCUACUUUGGGCACCGUGUUCCUUCUUCAGCCUUGAUUUUAUGGCUAGAGCUGAGUCUUGUUGUGUGAGGCUGAUCCAACAAUUUAACAAUUUCAGCAAUCCCUUCGGUUUACUGUAUGACACAUUUUGUUUUUUAUACUCAUUGCUUCAUUGGUGAGAAAACAAAUCCAUUUCCUGUGUGUGUCUCUCUAUUGUCUGCCAAGGAAGGAGUGCUUGUAAACAAAAGUGCCUAAAAGUAAGGGUAUUCUUUUUACAAAAACAUAGUUUUUACUACUAUAAUUAUAAGCAUUUUGACUAGAAAUACCGAUAGUUAAAUAAAUCCAGCAAUUGUAACCCAUGUGCUAAAACACAGCGACACCAAUUUAGCUCAUCUUUGGAAUGAGCUGGGUUUUAGUGGCACACAGAAAUGAGCAUUCAUUUUUUGUGCAUGUUUUACCACUGAUGUUUUAUGGGCUCCCAGUGGUCAGCGGAUCUGCCUGGGUGAUGCUGCCUAAACGUCCAUUUUAAGAAAGUACAGAAGCAGCUCAGAAAGUCAGAACAUAUCCUGAUUUUAACACUUUCAUUAAAAUCAGGCAAGUUUUAAAGACCCAUAUUUUUAUGAUGUCACUUGCUGUAGAUAAAAAUUCUUAUACCUAAAGCAGGACAAUAGCAUAUUUUUUUAACAUCAUUAAAAUAUCCUCUUACAUUUUAAGUGCCAGAAUAAAGAUAACUCCUUUAGACUGAUUUGGAAAAUAAUCUCUGAAGUUUCAUUGCUGUCUGUAAUAAGUGUCUAAAAUGCUCUCAAGUCUUUAAGUUAUCAUUUUACAGAGGGUUUAAUAUGGAAUACAUUUUUCAAAUCAUUGUGGGUAAGAUUUUUAGAGGAGAGGAGGAUAAGGGAGACAAAUCUGAAUAAAAGACAGUACACCUUUAUGAUGAUGUGAAUGCAGCAAUGGAGAUAAACCUGUCCCAUUAAACCAUUACUCAUCCUUUCAGGAUAGCCAGUGAAGAGAUGGGACUCAAACCAAAUGUAGCAGCUUCUUUCCGUACUCUAUUUAACUGGAGGUAAUGAAGUUGUAAAGGGGCAAUUCUGCUUAAAGGUAACUUCAGCACUGCAGUUUGUUCCUAGAAAGACUACUGAGUGCAAGCAGCCCCGCAAAUACGUCCUUGUCACGGGACUGGGUGCAACAUGGUCAUUAUUUUGUUCUAUACUCUUUCUCCAGAACAGUAUAUAACGGUUGUGUUUCUGUUAGCCAUGCCUUCGCUCUGCCCUGGGUCAUAAAGGUAGCUCUGGAUGCCUGCGAGCCCAGGAAAAGAGUGUUCUAGGGGGCUGAUGAGGAAUGGGCCCUUAUGCCCUCUUCCUAUACCCUCCCAGCAGCCUUCCAUUUGUCUAAAGCUGGAUAGGUUUUGAAACAUUCAUGAACUUACAAUGCCCUUUCUGUUUGGGGUGGGAAACACGCUCCUAGAGAAAUGUUUUUGCUGUUUACACCAGCACAUUUCUAAGAGAAAAGUAAUAUCAAAAUAAAUAGGAACUUGUAAUACUGUUUCUACUUCAUCCAAAUUAUUGGGUUUGAACAUUUCUUCUAGACAAACAAAUAGAAAUAUGCUCAUAGAAUAUCAAUAUUGAAUAGAUUUAAAUUUUCUGAUGGCAACGUGUACUGCCAGAAAACUUUAAGCAACGUUAAUUUCAAAUUCCAGAUGAAUAACAGCAGCAUCUGCAUUUAUAUUCCGUGGAAAAUACUUGUAAGGCAUAAUAAUGACUUCAAGAGAAUCGCUUUCCUCAGGCCACACCGUGAUUGCUCACUGCCAGGGAGGAUGGAAAACGACCAACAGAAAGUCUCCCUGUGGGAAGAUAUUUUUCAUUAGUUCACCAUUUUCCUGUCAUUCUUCAGGCACAAGGUCCUAUCGAAACAAAUUAUGAGUAGAUGAAAGCAGUUGCACUGAGCACUCCUGUUCCUACAUUAAGGGCAACGAAGCUGCUGAAAAGUGUAGAAAACAAGUCUUACAAGGAGCAACUGGGGUUGUUUAGCCUAGAGAAAAGGAGGCUCAGGGGAGACCUUAUCACACUGUAUGAUUACUUUAGAGGCUAUAGCAAGGUGGGGAUUUGUCUCCUUUGCCAAGCAGCAAAUGGUAACAUGAGGGGAAAUGGCCUCGAUUUGUGCCAGGGAGGCUUUAGUCGGAUAUUAGGGGGAAUUUCUUUACUGAAAGGGUUGUGCAGCAUUGGAAUAGGCUGUGUAGGGAAGUGGUUGAGGUGCCAACCCUGGAGGUCUUCGAGAAACAUGUAUACGUAAAACUCAGUAGCAUAGUUUAUAUUAAUUCUAGGUUAAAGUUUGGACUAGGUGAUUUUAGAGAUCUACAACCUGAAUAAUUCUAUGAUUCUAUGUUUUUUUCCAAAUUCUGGACCUGUAGUUGGGAUGUUUUUACAGGCUGUAAUGCAAGGGCUAAGGCAGAGGGGUACUCAGCACAGAAAUAGUAUCUGGGUAGGCAAGACAUUGCACGUGGACCCCUGAGCAAGGCAGAGAACCCCAGCACAAGGACCACAGCUCUGCUAUUCGGCUGCUAUGAACUUAUUUUGCAGACUGCAUUGCGUUUUUGCUUCCUCCUCACAAAAUAAAAUUUUCUUUGUUCUAUACCUAGAUGCAUUUCAAAACUUAGCAAAUGGUGGACCACAACUUUUCGUGACAGCAAUGGAGGUAAGGCUACUUGUUCCUUCUUUUCAGCUCCACAGUGGGACCAUGUUAGCAGGAUGAAACUAAAGG
rnacentral:lncRNA from 1 species